rnacentral:rRNA from 1 species
CCUACGGGGAGCUGCAGUGAGGAAUAUUGGUCAAUGGACGAGAGUCUGAACCAGCCAAGUAGCGUGAAGGAUGACUGCCCUAUGGGUUGUAAACUUCUUUUAUAUGGGAAUAAAACGUUCCACGUGUGGGAUUUUGUAUGUACCAUAUGAAUAAGGAUUGGCUAACUCCGUGCCAGCAGCCGCGGUAAUACGGAGGAUCCGAGCGUUAUCCGGAUUUAUUGGGUUUAAAGGGAGCGUAGGUGGAUUGUUAAGUCAGUUGUGAAAGUUUGCGGCUCAACCGUAAAAUUGCAGUUGAAACUGGCAGUCUUGAGUACAGUAGAGGUGGGCGGAAUUCGUGGUGUAGCGGUGAAAUGCUUAGAUAUCACGAAGAACUCCGAUUGCGAAGGCAGUUCACUGGACUGCAACUGACACUGAGGCUCGAAAGUGUGGGUAUCAAACAGGAUUAGAUACCCCGGUAGUC